AUUGAACGCUGGCGGCAGGCUUAACACAUGCAAGUCGAGCGGUAACAGAGAGAAGCUUGCUUCUCUGCUGACGAGCGGCGGACGGGUGAGUAAUGCCUAGGAAUCUGCCUAGUAGUGGGGGAUAGCUUGCCGAAAGGUAAGCUAAUACCGCAUACGUCCUACGGGAGAAAGGAGGGGACCUUCGGGCCUUUCGCUAUUAGAUGAGCCUAGGUCGGAUUAGUUAGUUGGUGAGGUAAUGGCUCACCAAGACCGCGAUCCGUAACUGGUCUGAGAGGAUGAUCAGUCACACUGGAACUGAGAAGCGGUCCAGACUCCUACGGGAGGCAGCAGUGGGGAAUAUUGGACAAUGGGGGGAACCCUGAUCCAGCCAUGCCGCGUGUGUGAAGAAGGUCUUAGGAUUGUAAAGCACUUUAAGUUGGGAGGAAGAGCAGUUAACUAAUAUUUGACUGUUUUGACGUUACCGACAGAAUAAGCACCGGCUAACUUCGUGCCAGCCGCCGCCGUAA
rnacentral:rRNA from 1 species